AAAGAUAGAGCAAAGAAUGUUAUUGGGGAUUUUGCUACACAUGAAAUACUCAAAGGAAGUAAGAUUACUAAUCUGGAUAAUGUUGAUGAGCCCCAGUCAAUGAGAUCUUUUUUCGGAGCGGCUGCUAGGAAGUUGCCUUCUAACAAGGCAGACCCUUGGCCCAUCUAACUCAGUUGCGUCUGCAAGACUGUCAGCAGUUUUCCAGGGUUUCAGACAGGAAUCGUUCCC